rnacentral:misc_RNA from 1 species
AAAUAUCUCCAAACUCUAGAAACUAUCCUCUUUAAAUUGAGUCAUGUCAACUUGGCAGACAAACUCAUUCUUCUUUUCACAAACAAAUUAAUAAUCAAGUUACAUCCAUUUUUACAUUGUUCAUUCAGAAAUAUGGGGUCAAAGUCAAGCCAGUUCAACUUUGGAUUUUAAUUAUUUCGUUACCUUUAUUGAUGACUAUUCUCGCUACACUUGAUUAUUUUUAAUAAAAAAUCAUUAUUAAUUAUUUUGUAUCUUUCAAAAAAUUUGUGUUGAGAUACAUACUUAAUUUGGUGUUUCUAUUAACGGGUAGGGGUAAUACACAAGAAUAUUUUCCUCUUCCCUUUCAAACCUUUAUAUCUUCUCAAGGAAUCAUUCAUUAGUCCACUUGCACCAAACUCCUCAACAAGAGUAGCUAAGCGUAAGAAUAAACAUCAAACUGAAACAGCCUACACUUUGCUCAUUUACCAUCAUGUACCUCGUUUUUGGGGGACAAUUUUCUUACUGCAUGCUAUUUGAUUAAUCAUAUGGCUUCUUCUGUUUUGUAGCAUAAGAGUCCUCAUUUGAUUCUUUAUCCAUAUCAAAACCCAUUACCUCUUCCUAUGUUUUAAA